GAUCCUGGCUCAGGACGAACGCUGGCGGCGCGCCUAACACAUGCAAGUCGAACGGAGAGAUGAGGAGCUUGCUCUUCAAAUCGAGUGGCGAACGGGUGAGUAACGCGUGAGGAACCUGCCUCAAAGAGGGGGUACAACGAGUUGGAAACGACUGCUAAUACCGCACUAAGCCCACGGCUCGGCAUCGAGCAGUAGGGAAAAGGAGUAGAUCCGCUUUUGAGAUGGCCUCGCGUCCGAUUAG
rnacentral:rRNA from 1 species